GUUCAUAUUCGUCACUCCGACACAGGAGAUACAGUUACUGCAUGUUGUUCCGUCGGGCGUUGCUUGACAAGCUCUCCUCACAGGCAAAAUGCAGCAGCAGAAUGGAGCUUGCUUUCAGCUUGCUGAAUUGUCUCCUUGUCCCCCCCGGCAGCGGGCAGGCGACUGCACCAGCAGCGAGCGGAACCUGGCACAGAAGUUGCGGCAUGAGCGAGGACAGAAAGGUGGUCAGUUGGCUUAGACUCUGGGCAGCAACUGUUAAAGAGCUGUGUCCAACAGCAGAUGAAAGGACCUAAAGACUAUCUGUGGAAUGCCUGGAAGAAAAAAAUUCAGGGAUGAAAGUAAAACUCAAAAAAUUUGUGGCACCACAUCGCCGAAGCACUGCAGCUCAGAAUACCGUGUGGAAGUCCAACACAUUUAGAUGCAUCUACCAAAACCCCUUCAGUAAUAUUUGAAAUAAGGAAUAUAAAAGGACUGUGAGCUGCUAUUUUGUGCUCUACCAUCCUGUGGAUUUGUUGGAGUUUAAUCAAAAGGAGAAGAUUUGAUUCUAAACAUUGCUACAGAAUAGCAAGAGGUUGUACAUGGUAAUCACAAGCAAGACUGAACAGAGCAAAAGGAGAAAUCCACCCGUUACCUUGUUCCACUUUUUCCUUCCAGUGAGAGAGUUAAAGGAAAAUUUGAUGUGGUUUCUUUUGGGCAAUAAAGACCUGAAAUACUGCACACAAAUCAAGAUAGAAAUUUGCUAGUCAAUGUUGGUGUGCUCCCGGGCAAGGGUACCACGGUACAGAAAGGAAAAUGAAAACACUGGAGUACCUGGGAGAGUGAGAAGGACACUACUGAGGGUAACCCUCAAUGGGAACACAAGAGAUCAAGUUCAAGCUGCCCACACACCCUCUAGCAAACAUGUCAAACCACAACACCUGGAAAUUUUUGUUUUGUGAAGUUGGUCUGAAAAUGUCCUGAGAACCACGAAAGUUUGGGAAAUUUUACAUUCUGCCAGUUUUCUCCUAGCAAUUUAUUUGCUCUUGCUGCCAAUCCAGGCUGUCAACAGAAAAUGUAUUUGUUUCAACCUAAAGCUAGUUUUCAAACCACUGAAUGACUUCAGGUCAACUGAAUGAACUAUGAGGUUUUGUGUGAAGUUUCACUUUUCUUACUCAAAACUAACAGAAAGAAAAUAUGAAGAUGGUUACAGCAGGCACAGAAAUCGACGGACACCAGCCGUGGUCCGACGAAAGCUCUGUAAUGUGGGAACAAGACUAUGAAGAAACAAGUUUGAAUAACGUGUUUGGGUGUCAGCCUCCAGCAAAUUGCGAGGUCCCAUAGUAAGCGUGAUUCCUUUCACUUCUCACAGUUUGGGGAAAACAAAGUUCAGAAGCUGCCUGCUGUUUGGGAUACUAGAAUAGUUUGCCAGUGGAAAAAUCAGAUAUUAAUGACGUUUGUGUUUUAGUCUGAUUUAAGCCUUCCACCUCUGCUAAGGAAGCAUCUGUUGAUAUUGUAAAUGUAACUUAUUUUAUUGAUCCGUGUCUCAGUUGUGGAACAGCAUGAUCUUCCCACAGCCCUUUCUCAGGCUUGGGGGCUGUUCUGGAGGUAAUGGCUCCAGCCCCGCGCUUUUGCUCCCAGAGAAUGCUGCCAGCAUGCCCAAGCCUGACACCAGUGGAAAACUGCCCAGCUGCACUGUCUGAUUCAUGCUGGCUUUCUAAUCUCUGCAAGUUUUCAUCGAUGACUUAAGCCUCAUUGGCACAAUGAUGUCCCCUUUGCCAGCAUGUCUAACUCACUCAAUCUACAUGCUCAGACUUCCCUUCUGAUUAUUUCCGGGUUCUCUGGCUUCUCUGGGACUAUUUUCAAUUGACAUAAUUGUUAGUAUUACACGUUAGUUCUGAAAGUAUAUUGUUUUUUCUAGUUUUCUCAGUGCAACAUAGAUGUCCUUAAAAUGCAGAUUAUUUAAAAGAGAAGAAACACAGUCUGAAUGACUAUAUUUUUCUAUUUCAGGGCUCUUCUAGAAAAACACCUUAACUGCUAGCCUCUCAUAACCAUGUGCAGUGAAUAAAACACAGAAUAAUUCUCUAAUAUAACAGCAAUAAAUAUUUUAGCAGUAACUCCUUAUUGUCUUUGUUAUGUUUAAAAAAUGAAGUUACCUCUAUCAUACUAGUUUUUAGGUAAAGUCCAUGAGUAAAUGCUUUUGAUAGCCAGGUUUUACAUCGCAAGCCAAGCAAAUGUUAAAUAUAAACAGAGAUAUGGAAAUUAUUUAUUACCGUCACUGGAAAAUGUUACACGAACCUUUCUGCAUUCUUCGUACCAUCUAAGAACAAGCACAAUUCUCCUUUGCCUCAUACCAGUGAUCUCACAUGGUAGACAUGCCGAAUUACGAGCCUAAAAAAACAUCAAUCACUGUGGAAUUCCACAACUCAUUAGCUUAAAGGUAAGGAAAAUGUUAAAAAAAAAAAAAAAUAAAAAAAGGAGAGGAGAAACACAGAACAAGUGUCAAAUGUGAUGUUAUAUAAUUAACAUCAAAAUUGCUAAUACAUAUCUUGUUAUAGCUCAACAUCAGCAAGACUGGCAGAGCCAUCCUCUUAAAAAAAAAAAAGUUUCUCCUUAAUUCUCAUUCAUUAAUGCCAAGUAGCUUGAAACAGUUCCCAGUACGCAGCACAGCAUUGUUGGCAAAGCAGCUUCCAAUCCUGUGAAAGUGUUCUAUUUCUGUAAUGCAGCUUAAUCAGUAUUAAUACACUUCUUACUCACUGAAAGGCAGUAAUCACCAUAAAGAUACUUGGUAUUUAUACAGGAGCAAUGCGUGUAAUUCCAUCAGAAAUGCCCUGCAUUUCAGUAUUCAGGAUAACAUGGCUAAAGGCUUCGAAAAAUUUGUUCCAUUACCUAUGAAUGUCUGCUUUCCAGCGCUUUCUAACCACUCUAUACAUAUGCCGUUUGAGUUUAAGGCAAAGCCUAAGGAAAUACUGUUUUUAUUAUUAAAUGAGUAAAAGCUCCAUUUUUUCAGAAUAAUACCACCCGCCAAUAUAGUUAUUUCUCUCUUGUUAAAUGAAAUGUUCAACUUAAUUAAGGAAAUUCUCAGGGAAGACCUGAUUUCUGUCAGCCAAUGGCAGGCACACAGACUCAAAGAAAAUAGCUGCUUUUUAAGAAAAAUUAGGGCAUUUUUCUUUAUAAUUUAUUUUGCUCUAGCAAUCUAUAUUUGGUCAAAAACACAAGUAGAGAUGUAACCAGACAAUGAACUGAGGCACGAACUAGAGUAAAAAACAGAGAGUAGGAUUGAAUACCUUGUCUCAAUACAGUUCCUCAAAGGGCUGGUUCUACAUGCUAGACAUUUUCUUUGGCUUUGCUAAACCCAGUGGCCUCUGCUCACUUGAAAGCUGCUAAAGUUUUCAGUGAAAAACCUACCAAGCUUCAGCCUUAAACAAGGCCUUCUUCACCCACCUGUGAAAAACGUUGGCAACAUUUAUUCCUACAAACAACCUAAUUUCAGUUUAAUUUUACCUAAGGAAGAGAAUGUCUCUACAGGAAGACCAAAUUUACAACUAUCUUUCUUAAAACCUUCUUUCUCUCAGUAAUAGUGAAGUUACCCUUGUUUUCAUGCCAUAAUCUAUUCUCAGUUGUGAGGAAAGCAUAGCCAAACCCAUAGCUCUCACCAAGGCACCCGCAUCCCUCAAAAAAGUGAAAGGAGAAUUUUGCACUGUGCCAGGAUGGCUCUGAGAUGGUGGAUGUGGUGCACAGGCUGUCACUCAAGGUCAAGCAGAGCAGGGGCCCUGUGAACUAAACUGCACAGGAAAAAACAACAAAGUGACUGAAAUGCUGUCACUAUUUAGCAGUUAGCACCUUGCUCGGGACUGGGCAGAGAGUCUUCUCCUCCACACUAUUACAGCUGGGUCUGUCAAAGCCUUCCUCACCACCCCUUGGUUCGGUUUUUUGGGGUUUUUUGUUUGUUUGUCUGUUUUUUUUCUUUUUUGAAACUAAGCAUUUCUUUCAAAACAUAACUACCAGCACCUCCAUUUUAUGUGGCAUUUCUGUGAUAAAGCUCCAGUGAAGCUAACAUGAAGAAAUGAAAGAUUUUGCAACUCUCUACCUAGUUUAAGAGGUUUCAACUAUUUUUUCAUCUCUAAGGAAGACACCUGGAUGGCAUCUGCAUGAGGAAAGGGGGAAGACGAGACUCAGAGCUAAGAAAUCCACUCCACUCCACCCCUUAAGACAAAAACAAAACAAAAACUCCUCAAAACAUAGAAGAGCAGAGCAUAUGCGUGUAAAACUCGCUAACCUUGUGAUCAGGGCAUUCUCCUAGGAGGAGAAUUUAUGUGUCUUUUAUAGAAAGCCAUUGCUGGAUAAAAUAAACUAGUCCUUGGAGAUGGCACUGAAAAGUCAGUGUUUUCUGCCAGAUGGUACAGCACGCACACGGGGCCUGCGGGAGCUCCCCCAGCUUUCAACAGCCGCUCAGUGCCCCAGGGAAGCCCCAAAUACCAGAAAAGAGCACAGAAGCACAGCAGAUACUUCUGUGUUGGAUGGCACUUGACCCGAUCAUGAAACGGCCUGUCUCCACCACAAAUACUUCUUGAUGCAAAACCAGAAGUCCAGAUUGCCACACAUACUCCACAACCAUCAGAAAGACAAAGAUAAGGAACUGAUUUUGUUUUUAUUUUUGUAGGCCAGCACAAAAUAAAGCAUGACAAGCCUGAUAAAUGCAAAGAGCAUGGUGUCAUGGUUACCAGUGACAUUAGAUUCCUGACUGAGCAAACUAGCUGCAGGAAUGAUUUCUGUGUAAACAGAGUUACUCAAUUAUGUUAGCCGUGUGUCUAUAAAAUGUGAUGCAAUUGGAUUUCACAGAUGCAGGAUAUGGUUUGUGUUUGCUCUGUCUGCAUGUAGAUUCUUCAAUAAAUACUCUUUUGCUUUGCUCAGCGGUCACACUGCUUUCAUACCAACUUCACCUCUUACACCAGCUUUGCACUGACUAUCAAUAAACGGAUUGA